rnacentral:rRNA from 1 species
GAGUUUUGAUCCUGGCUCAGAGCGAACGUUAGCGGCGCGCCUAACACAUGCAAGUCGCACGGAGUAGCAAUAUUCAGUGGCGCACGGGUGCGUAACACGUAGAUAAUCUGCCCUUCAGCGGGGGAUAACGUUCCGAAAGGAGCGCUAAUACCGCAUACAGCGUUUGGUGGUUCGCCACUGGACGGCAAAGGCUGGGAUCGCAAGACCAGUCACUGAAGGAGGAGUCUGCGGCCCAUCAGCUAGUUGGUGAGGUAAUGGCUCACCAAGGCAAAGACGGGUAGCUGGUCUGAGAGGAUGAUCAGCCACACUGGUACUGGAACACGGACCAGACUCCUACGGGAGGCAGCAGUGGGGAAUCUUGGUCAAUGGGCGAAAGCCUGAACCAGCGACGCCGCGU